rnacentral:rRNA from 1 species
UACGUAGGGACCGAGCGUUGUCCGGAAUCAUUGGGCGUAAAGGGUGCGUAGAUGGCAUAAUAAGUUAUUAGUGGGAAAUCGAGGCUCAACCUCGUGGAAGCUAGUAAUACUGUUUUGCUUGAGUGCAGAAGAGGUUAACGGAACUCCAUGUGGAGCGGUAAAAUGCGUAGAUAUAUGGAAGAACAUCAAUAACGGCGAAGGCAGUUAACUAUUCUGUUACUGACAUUGAGGCACGAAAGCGUGGGGAGCAAAACGG